rnacentral:rRNA from 1 species
AACUAGCAUGAAAGGUAUAACAUUUAAAUUUCUUUAUUAUAUUCAUAUAAUUAAUUUAUAUUAAAUAUAAAAAUAUAUUUAUUUUAUAAAUAGACGACAAGACCCUAUUAAAUUUUACUUAAUGUUAAGCUGGGGCAGCUGUUCAAUAAAAAUUUUUUGUUUCAUUUAUUAACUAAACUUCUAGUAUAAUUAAAUAAUAAACAAAUUACUAUAGGGAUAACAGCGUUAUAUUAUUUUUAAGCUCAUAUUUAUAAUAAUGAUUGCGACCUCGAUGUUGAAUUAUAUUUCUUUUGUAACGCAAAAGUUAAAAAAGUAGGUCUGUUCGACCUUUAAAAUAUUACAUGAUUUGAGUUCAAACCGGUGUAAGCCAGGUUGGUUUCUAUCUUUUAAUUAAAUUUUUCUAGUACGAAAGGACACAUAAAUUUUUAUUUUAUCUUAUUAGCAAACUAUUGCAUUAGAUUUAGAAUCUAAAUAAUCUAAUUCUAUUCCCAUUAUUAAUUCAACAAUUUCAUCUCUAAGUUUACUAAUUGCAGUAGCUUUCUACACCAUUUUAGAACGAAAAAUUUUAAGAUAUAUUCAAUUUCGAAAAGGACCUAACAAAGUAGGAAUAAUAGGUAUUCUUCAACCAUUUUCAGAUGCAAUUAAACUUUUUAAUAAAAAUUUAACUUCUUCAGAAUCAAGAAAUUUCUUCAUUUCCUACAUUACCCCUGCCAUAUCAUUUAUUUUAUCAAUAAUGAUUAUUAUUUUAUUACCUUUAUACUAUAACUCUCCCAUUGAUAAUAAAAAUAAUAUUUUAACUUUUUUUAUUAUCUCAAGACUAGCA